CCUAACUUCGCUAUUGCAAAUUCUCCAUGAUGACCAUUUUCCUGUUCGUAUCUAACUCGUCUUUGUUUUCCAAUUUCUGGAUCAAAAUCCCACUGUGUUUUCUAUGUAAUGAUUAUUAUAUAAUUAUUAAUUUAAUGCAAAAUAUUAAACUUACCUCGUGAAAAAGUGGUGUUCCUGCUAUGUUAUAUUGAAGAAAAUCAUGAAUAAAUAAGUAUAUAUUGAAUGCA